rnacentral:rRNA from 1 species
AGAGUUUGAUCUUCGCUCCAAAUGAACAAUGGCGUCUUGUUUAACACAUGCAAGUCGGAUGGGAAGUGGUGUUUCUAGUGGCGAACAGGUGAGUAACGCGUAAGAACCUACCCUUGGGAGGGGAACAACGGCAGGAAACAACUGUGAAUACCCCAUAGGCUGAGGAGAAAAAGGGGGGAUCCGCCCAAGGAGGGGCUCGCGCCUCAUUAGUUAUUUGGUGAGGCAAUAGCUUACCAAGGCGACGAUCAAUAGCUGGUCUGAGAGGAUGAUCAGCUACACUGGGACUGAGACACGACCCAUAAUCCUACAGGAGGCAGCAGUGGGGAAUUUUCUGCAAUGGGCGAAAUCCUGACAGAGCAAUGCCACAUGAAGGCAGAAGGCCCACGAGUCAUGUACUUCCUUUCUCGUAGAAGAAAAAAUGACGGUAUCUAAGGAAUAAGCAUCGGCUAACUCUAUGCUAGCAGCCGCGGUAAGAGAGAGGAUGCAAGCGUUAUCCAGAAUGAUUAGGCGUAAAGCAUCUGUAGGUGGCUUUUCAAGUCUACUGUCAAAUCCCUGGGCUCAACCCUAGACAGGCAGUGGAAACUACCAAGUUGGAGUACGGUAGGGGCAAAGGGAAUUUCCAGUGGAGUGGUGAAAUGCGUUGAGAUCGAAAAGAACACCAACAACGAAAGCACUCUGCUGGGCUGACACUGACACUGAGAGACAAAAGCUAGGGGAACAAAUGGGAUUAGAUUUACCCCAGUAGUCCUAGCCGUAAACGAGUUCUAAGUGCUGGCGUGAUCGACCCGCGCAGUGCUAGCUAACGCAGGUUAAGCCGCUGGGUGGGAUGAUUCUUUCGCUUUAAUAUAUUGAAAACUCAAAGGAUUGUACGGGGGCACACAAGCGGUGGAGGUGUUCAAUUCGAUGCAAACGCGCGAAAACCUUACUAGCCGACAUGCAGUGAUCCUCCCUGAAAGAGAGGAGUGCCCCAUGAGGUAUACGCUUACACUGUGGGGUGGGUGGUGCAUGGGUCGUCUCGUCGCCGUAAGGUGGUGUGUGUUAAGUAUCCCGCAACAUUUGAGCUUCUCCUCUGGGAUUUGCCUGAUGACCGCUAACAGACUGCGUGAAGCUUGUGAGGAAGGAGGAUUGACGUCAGUAUCAUGCCCUUACGGCCUGUGUGCAACACAUUGCAUACAAUGACCAGGACAAAGGGUCGCGACCGCCGCGAGGGCAAGCUAACCUCAAAAACUCGGCCUCAGUUCAGAUUGCAGGCUGCAACUCACCUGCAUGAAGCCGAAAUCGCUAGUAAUCGCCGGUCAACCAUACAACGAUGAAUCCGUUCCCGGGCCUU